rnacentral:rRNA from 1 species
UACGUAGGGUGCAAGCGUUGUUCGGAAUUACUGGGCGUAAAGCGCGCGUAGGCGGGUUUGAAAGUCGAUUGUGAAAGCCCUAGGCUUAACCUGGGAAUUGCAGUCGAAACUUCAAAUCUUGAAUGUCUGAGAGGAUGGCGGAAUUCCCGGUGUAGUAGUGAAAUACGUAGAUAUCGGGAAGAACACCUGAGGCGAAGGCGGCUAUCUGGCGGUACAUUGACGCUAAGGCGCGAAAGCGUGGGGAGCAAACAGG